rnacentral:rRNA from 1 species
CUCCUACGGGAGGCAGCAGUGGGGAAUAUUGCACAAUGGGCGGAAGCCUGAUGCAGCAACGCCGCGUGCGGGAUGACGGCCUUCGGGUUGUAAACCGCUUUCGCCUGUGACGAAGCGUGAGUGACGGUAAUGGGUAAAGAAGCACCGGCUAACUACGUGCCAGCAGCCGCGGUGAUACGUAGGGUGCGAGCGUUGUCCGGAUUUAUUGGGCGUAAAGGGCUCGUAGGUGGUUGAUCGCGUCGGAAGUGUAAUCUUGGGGCUUAACCCUGAGCGUGCUUUCGAUACGGGUUGACUUGAGGAAGGUAGGGGAGAAUGGAAUUCCUGGUGGAGCGGUGGAAUGCGCAGAUAUCAGGAGGAACACCAGUGGCGAAGGCGGUUCUCUGGGCCUUUCCUGACGCUGAGGAGCGAAAGCGUGGGGAGCGAACAGGCUUAGAUACCCUGGUAGUCCACGCUGUAAACGGUGGGUACUAGGUGUGGGGUCCAUUCCACGGGUUCCGCGCCGUAGCUAACGCUUUAAGUACCCCGCCUGGGGAGUACGGCCGCAAGGCUAAAACUCAAAGGAAUUGACGGGGCCCCGCACAAGCGGCGGAGCAUGCGGAUUAAUUCGAUGCAACGCGUAGAACCUUACCUGGGUUUGACAUGGAUCGGGAGUGCUCAGAGAUGGGUGUGCCUCUUUUGGGGUCGGUUCACAGGUGGUGCAUGGCUGUCGUCAGCUCGUGUCGUGAGAUGUUGGGUUAAGUCCCGCAACGAGCGCAACCCUUGUUCACUGUUGCCAGCACGUUAUGGUGGGGACUCAGUGGAGACCGCCGGGGUCAACUCGGAGGAAGGUGGGGAUGACGUCAAGUCAUCAUGCCCCUUAUGUCCAGGGCUUCACGCAUGCUACAAUGGCUGGUACAGAGAGUGGCGAGCCUGUGAGGGUGAGCGAAUCUCGGAAAGCCGGUCUCAGUUCGGAUUGGGGUCUGCAACUCGACCUCAUGAAGUCGGAGUCGCUAGUAAUCGCAGAUCAGCAACGCUGCGGUGAAUACGUUCCCGGGGCUUGUACACACCGCCCGU